rnacentral:rRNA from 1 species
UACGUAGGGUGCGAGCGUUGUCCGGAAUUACUGGGCGUAAAGAGCUCGUAGGUGGUUUGUCGCGUUGUCCGUGAAAACUCACAACUCAAUUGUGGGCGUGCGGCGAUACGGGCAGACUGGAGUACUGCAGGGGAGACUGGAAUUCCGUGGUGUAGCGGUGGAAAUGCGCAGAUAUCAGGAGGAACACCGGUGGCGAAGGCGGGUCUCUGG